GCUGCUGCUCCUGAUUGGACUCUUAUUCUUCGUUGUGACUCUUAGAAAGAGAAACAAGACUCGAGGUCCAGCAUCAAUCCAAAGCCAAUCACACAGAGGCUCCUCAGACAACCACACAGUUUCCCAUGAUGUCUAUGUCUAUGAGGAGGUUAAAGACAUUCCUGUCUCAGAUGCUGGAGCUUCCACAGUCUACUCUACUGCUGAACUACCAACAAACCCCUCAGAACCUUCUCAGACUCUUUAUGAUAAUGUCCAGUUAUCCACAAACCCCUCAGAACCUUCUCAGACUCUUUAUGGUAAUGUCCAGUUAUCCACAAACCCCUCAGAACCUUCUCAGACUCUUCAUGAUAAUGUCCAGUUAUCCAGAAACCCCUCAGAACCUUCUCAGACUGUUUCAACGUAUGCAAGCGUGAAUUUCAGCAAGAAUGCAGAUAGUUCUACUGAUGCUGUUCCCACGGCAACCAUCAACAAGGAGAACGACUCAUGUGACUACGCCACAGUCAAAUGUUAGUGGAAGUAGUUUUCAUGCUACGCUUGUAUUCUCACCCAUUUACUAGUCUUUUAUUUCUUGAAGUCUGUAAAUGUGUUAUUUGUCAUUGGGGUUAACCGCUUAAA